AAUAACAUAUACGUAGCUAGAGGAAGCACUGAAAGAAGAUCUAAGAUGUUGAGUGAUCAAAUCCUGCAAAUGCUUGAGUUCACCACCCAAAGCUUGUUGCAACCUUUCAGUUCCUUAAGCCUAGCUAAUGCCUGUGCUACUUCUACUCAUUUUCCUCAUUCUCCUAUUCAAAUGGUUCGAUCAUCACUAGCUGUCCUACUACGAAAAACUCACCACCUUCUCCACCAAAGCUCCUUAUCAUCGGAAACCUUCACCAAAUAGGCACCUACCCUUAUCGCUCACUCGAAGCCCUAGCUAAGCGCUUCGGCCCUGAUCUCAUGCUCCUCCAUUUUGGAAGCGUGCCCGUCCUUGUGGUCUCGUCUCCUGAGAUCGCCCGCGAGAUCCUGAAGACCAAUGGCUCGUCUUCUCCAGCCGGCCCAAGUUGACUGUGUUCGAGAAGCUCCUUAAUGAUCACAGAGACGUCUCGUCCACACCCUACCGGGACUACUCGAAGCAGAUGAAGAGUAUAUAUAUUCGUUUCGCAUCUUUUGAGGAACAAAAGGGUUCAGUCUUAUGGUGGUAUUAGAGAAGAAGAGACCAAACUGAUGCUCAGGAAGAUAGAACAACAGUCCACGUAUUCGUCACCAGAUCACUCAGUUGCUCUAAAUCUAAGCGAAAUGUUUUCGACUCUCACAAAUGAUGUGAGCUGCAGAGUGGCUCUUGGGAGGAAGUACUGCGUUGGAGAAGAUGGUAAGAUAUUUCAGGAGAUUUUGAAGGAGUUCAUGGAGUUAAUGGGACGCGCGUAUAUCGGGGACUACAUUCCAUGGCUUGCUUGGUGGAGCAGCGUCAAUGGUUUGAACGCUAAACUAGACAAGAUGGCUAAACAGUUUGAUGACUUUUUGGACAGAGUUGUUCAAGAGCACAUAGAUAUGGAUGCAAGUGAUAAAAAGUAGUAUGGAAACGAGGAUAAAAAGGACUUUGUGGACGUCUUACUUGGGCUGCAGAAAGAAAAAGUGGCUGGUUUUGCUUUUGGUACUUUCCAUAAAGGCUCUCAUCUUGAAGAAGAAAGGGAAUAUCUCCUUGCGUUGAUGGUGUUAGAAACUGAGCAAAAGACAAGAUUCACUCAUUUUAGUCAGAAGGGCAUCCGGCCGGAGCUGUGCAUAUAACCAUGCCAUACGAGCUACUAGUUGACUGCAGAAUUUUAACUGGUUUACUGUAGUGCCUUGGUCAUCAAUAUUCCGAUUUCCGAAAAAUUUCAAACAUUGAGCUGUAGAAAGAUGAGGGAGUAAUUUAAUUUAAAGGAACCAACAGCCAUACCUCACACUGAAGAGAGUGAAACGACCUCUUAUUUGCUGCAGUGGAAGCACACUCCACAACGGUAAGGCUCUCUGCAAGCAAUGCUUUGAGUACUCCUGAAAGAGAAAACCCUUCUAGCUCACUGCAAUUUGUACUAUUAGUACUUACCACAAUCUCCACUCCACCCCAACAUGUUGGGCCAACCAUGAUAUUGGAAGUACUCUUGGUACCCAAAUUUUCAUUAAUUUCAGGACUGAAAUCAUGUGCAGAACUACUGUACUGUUUAUACACCCUUCUAAGCUCUUCCUUCUUGGCAUUCAGCUCCUGUAUCUUCUCCUUCAGCUGCUUUAUAUAAUUCACUGCUUCAUUUAUGUGCUCGGAGAUUGAACGUUUUCCCUGUAUACCGCCAUCAAAAAAUAAAACCCGGCCUAGCUAGAUUAAUCAUUGUGAUUGAUUUACUAUCUAAAACCUAGAUAUGUUUGAACUCAACCACCCCAAAAAGAAAUGGAUCCCAAUCUGUGCAAACUAAUUACUGAAUUAACUAAACAAUUACCUUAAUUAAUUCAAGAGGGAGGAGGGAUCGAAGUGAUGCAGUGCGAAUCGCCAUAACUUGUCUUCUUUGGCGCUCAUUGUCCCUACGCAUGAUCUUCCUUUCGUCAGAAUCAGUAGCCAUAUUAUUAAUAUUUGCUUUACUAAUAUUAAUAUUGGAUAGACCACGUCCCUGCAGAUCAGAUGGCAAAACCUCAUGACUACCCCGCAUCAUGAUCAGAUCCUGUUGCAUAAAAUCUUUUUGGUGCGGAGUCGAAUACAUUUGUAAUUCAAAAUCUUUGCUUUGAUGAUCAUGAGGGAAAGGAAACAUUGAACAAAGACUGUAUAUGUAUUAGGGUAAGAGCAACUAUAAGGAGCUAAAGGACAGAGAUACGUUUGUUGAGAUAGUGUGCUUAAGAUUCCCGGUUAUAUUUUUUUAAAAAAAUAUAUAUAUAUCCUGGUUAUUUGUUAAAGAGGACAUGCUCUGGAAGGCAUAUAUUAAUAUAAAAGCAAGGUCUUGUGAGUAGUAGUCAGUACGCAUUCUUUCACUUUUGUACUAAACCAAUUACUGCCUGUUACUUUCACAUUUGGUGGAGCAUAAUCUGUCGGAAAGUCGGCAGUUUUUUUUCUUUUUCGUUUUUCUCUCUCUUUUUUGUUUUUUUGUUUUGUUUCUGGUAAGUCAGCAGUUGGACCCGACCCGGGUUUACACUAUGGGACUGAUCGAUCAACCUCAUUAAGUGAAUACGUAUGGAGAGCUACUCCUAGCCUAAAACAAUCUCGUUCCUGCGUGUCCGAUUAUAUUGUAUAUACAAAGCAGAUCGAUAUUGAUGCGAAUAUCCCCUUAAGUUGAAUUAAGUAGUUUGUUAGGAAUAUAAAAUAACAAAUUACAUAUAAGUUAUUGACAAAAGAUGACUUAACAAAUACAUCCUCUAAAGAUUGAAUAGAAAAUUACACACAAGUGUUAUUUUGAAACUUUAAUUAGCCAUAAAGCCACCUGAUUUUUCUUGUUCACAUAAGUCCACUUACAUCUUCAAAUAAUUUAAUUUUUGACAAUUUUGCCCUUUCACCCAAAAAAUAUUCCUAUAUUCUGAUCUGAUUCAAGCUCUCUCUCUCUCUUCGAUAUAUUCUUAUCUAUUCAAGCUCUCUCUCUCUCUCUCUCUCUCUCUCUCUCUCUCUCUCUCUCUCUCUCUCUCUCCGACUUGCGACUGUAUCUCCGGCGACAUCACCAACAGGCCAAGCUCCGGAUCUCGAGGUUGUCAACGGUUAUGUCCAAGAUCGUCGGGAUCCGCUUCUCCAACGAAGGUAACUCACCGUCGUUUGGCGCAUCUUCACUGAAUCUCAGUUUCUCACCGGCGAAGCCAUGUUGAAAAGUUCAAUUGUCCAAUUCUUGUUAAGUCAUGCAGAUCGGAGGAUCUAAAGUCAGGCAUGUAAAUUCUCUUUUGCAGAUUUGUCUAUGCAUUCGUCGAUACUAGUUCACAUUCAAAAUUCGCAGCAAUUUUAGUUAGACUAUAAAUUUUGAUUGUUGAAUUUUCACGCAGGGGCUGUUUGGAUGAUGGUAAUGAGUCUUGGAUGGUGAGAUCAGAGGUAGGGAAGAGCGAGAGUACUAAUUCCAGAGAUCAAAGAUUUGUUUUGGGCCAUUCCAAAUACUACUAUAGUACCUUCCUCUUCUUCCUCUUGUUUCAUGUUAUUUGGAAUUCAUCAGCAAAGACACUUCUCUAUUUAGAUAUCACUGGAUUAUUAUAGUUGUUAGUUUGUUCUUAGGGUUUGAGAUGAUUGCUCAUGUUUGUAUAGCGCUUACUUGAUACGGUUUAUUGGUUUCUUUUAUUGAUUUUAUCCGUCCUCAAGUUUACAUGACUCUUUGUUCUUUGACCUGCAAUGAAUUUAAUCUGAUUGCUAUUGCGGGCAUGAGUUUGCAGAUGGCUUGGGGUUGAGAUAGCUAUAACACUAGAAUUACUGUAUUUUUUAGGUUCCUCAUGUAUGAUGCUUUACUAGCCAAGUGUUGAUUUAAUGCAAACAAGGUGAGUUCUAGUAAAAAAAUAAAAAAUAAAAACUUUUUGCAUUUUCGUGUAUUUUCAGUACCAGCUUGGUUUAGAUGGAUUGUAGUUGUUAUUGGUGUGCUUUAGGAGCAUUUUGGUUGCUGUGUCGGUGGUGUUGCCAAUUUUUGUUCUAGGCUUACAUUGGUUUAAGCUAACAACUCAUUCCUUCUAAAUAGAUAUGGCUGGUCAAUUGGUUUGAAGAUAGGGGCCUUGUCAUAAAUAAUUUUAUUUUGAAAUAAAGCCAUGCUGGUAUGUGAUAUAUAUAGUGCCAAUUGUAUCGCUGACUUUUCAACACAGUGAGAGUAGCUUUCUAUCCCUAUGUUAGUACCUUUCAAUCUAAUGUUAGUAGCUCUUUUGUUUUCACUUUGAUUGAUUUCAAGACAACAACUCUCUAUAACUGUUAUAGUGGUUUUUCAACACAAUGAUAAUAGCAAUCUAUCCAUAUGUUAGUAACUUUUCAAUUUGAUGUCAGUAGCUUUUUUGUUUCCAUUUUUAUUGAUUUCAAGUCAUUAGCUCUCUAUAAUUGUUAUAGUGGCUUUUUAACACUAUGAUAAUAGCUUUCUAUAUCUAUGUUAGUAUCUUUUCAAUCUGAUGUUAGUAACUUUUUGUUUUUAUUUUGAUUGAUUUCAAGUAGUCUUUUGUUAAUAGCUUAUCAAAUUUAGAAAAGCAUGAUUUUGAAUGAAAUUUAAUUUUCUUUUUGUUAUGAUUUCGUAUCUCUAGCAUUUCUUGUUUGAGAUUUUUGUUACACUAUAAACACGGAUAAUCAGCUGGUUUUCUGCAAUCAGUAUGUAUGUCAGUAGCUUUUUAUUACUGGUUUAGUAACUUUGUGCAUGUGUCAUAGUAGCUUUCUGUGUCUAUGUCAGUUUAUUUUUAAAUUGCUUGUUUUUAGUCUACAUUUCAAAUACUAAUAUUUUGUUGUAUCUUCUUGCAGAAUUCUUUCCCUUUGCAUUUGCAAUAGUAGAUUUCGAAAAUCAUGUGAAUUUGAGUACUGAAGCCUCCAUUGACAAAGAGAUUAUCCGGCCAACCAAGAAAUGUUGAAAUGAAGUUUGAUGUUGAAGGUGGCAAAAUAAUGUCUAUGGUUAGCGUAGUGUGGUAGAGCUUGACAGUAGUUUUAUAACUAUUGUAAUAGAUUUUCACAACUGUGGUAGUGGUUUUUAACAACUAUGGUAGUAGCCAUUUUACAUAAUUAUAUCAUUGUUGAACCUGCAUACUUUUUGUAGCAUUGAAUAUGUUUUCAUUUCUCAAUUGCAGUAGCUUUUUUAUUUUGGUUGUAUCCUUUAUAUUUCCAUAUCUUUGUUAAUCUUUGAGAAUAGCUUUUUCAGUCUGUAGCUUUCGUUUUGCUUAGUUAUUGCUUUUGGCGUUGUUGGGAGUAACUUUUGAUGAUGGUGAGAGCAGCUUUCUGAUGUUGGUGACGUAGCUUUCUUGUGUUGGCAACAGUAGUGUUUGUUAGUGGUGAGAGUAGUUUUUGGUGUUGGUGAUAGUAACUUUUGCUGGUAGAGAUAGUAGCUUUUGGUUUCGUAGAGCGUAGCUUGUGUUAGUGACAUUAGUUUUUAUUGCUUGUAACAGUAGCUUUUAUGACCUCGUCAUAAAUCUCACACCAGCGUAGUUUUUGUUGCUGGUCAUAGUAGCUUUUGUGACCUCGCCGGAAAUCUCACCAGCGUAACUUUUGUUGCUAGUGAUAGUAGCUUUUAUUGCUAGUGAUAGUAGCUUUUGUGACCUCGCCGGAGAUUGCCAGAAAUCUCACCAUAGUAGCUUUUGUUGUUAGCGACAGUAGCUUUUGGUGUUUGUGACAGUAGCUUUUGUAGUCGCCGGAAGUUGGCCGGAGACCCAUCGGAAGUUGGUCGGAGACUCGCCGGAAGUUGGACCGAGGUCGGCCGGAGACCGGCCGGAGUCGGCGGGAGGUCGGGCGGAGUUGACCGGAGACAUCGCCGGAGGGAAGAGAGAGAAUGGUUGUUGGCUUUUUACUCUAGUGGCAUUUAUGUAAAUAUAUUGGUUUUUAUAUCCAAAA